CGGGAGGCGCGCUGCGCUCCCCAACGCCAUUGCGGGCGGGCGGCGGCCCGGGCAGCGACCCGCCCGCACGCUCGGGCCGGCCUGGGGCAAGGGGUGCCGGCCGGGGAAGGGGUUUGGCCCACGUGCGGUCGCCACGCCGGGCCGUUUCGGCGGCCGCGGUGUAAUGGAGGAGAGGCCGCGGGGGUGAGGAAGGCCAGGGGUAACAGCAGGAAGAUACCUAGCUGGUUGUAUACUAAUGGAAGUUCCUGAAGGGAGAGAAAAGACCAGAACAAACUAAAAGGUCUCUAGACUUAACUUCUUUAUGGAGAAGGCAAAGUAAUGGGAGAGCAAUUUCGGUAGGUAAUUUUACACAUAAUUGUAGUGUAAAAGGACAUGUUAUUCAUACCACUGUUUUCUUACCGAUAUGCAUAAUGUUUUGAUAGUGAUGAGGCAGCUUUUUAAUUAAAAGUUUAGUUAUAACUACUAAUUUCAUGUUUGUAAGUAUCACAGAAUGCUUUGUUGACUUCAGUCUUGAAUGUUGAUAUUCAAUUUUCUUAAAGGUCUAUCUCUUUAAAACAAAUAUCUGUAUUUGAGGAUAAAAGUUUAAGUUUACUUUUGAGUCUUAUAAUAUUUCACACAAACUCCAUCGUAGAGGUAGAAUAUAUUUUUCUAAAAUAGUCCUCAGGCUCACAUUCAGAUUCAAAGAUAUCUAUGAUCAGUCUUAUUUUGUGAUGUUAGCUAUAAAAUUAACAUUAAAGGUGUCAUUUCUACCCCAAAAAUAAAUUGAUAAUGAUUCAGCAUGGCUUGCUACCUAUACUCAUGGCUUGGACAUGCCACUGAAAAUUUAAACCAUCAUCUCUGUCCAUUUGCCAUUCUACAAGUAUCUUGGAUUUUCAGCUUUAAAAGUUCAUAAGGUUCAGUAUUUAUUUUUACUUGCCAUGAGUAAUGAACUAUAGAACUCCUUGGGAUCCCUUUAGGUCAUUUUUAAGUUACUAAUAUCUUAUCUCUACAAAUAAACAACAAUA
rnacentral:lncRNA from 1 species